UACGUAGGGGGCAAGCGUUGUCCGGAAUUAUUGGGCGUAAAGCGCGCGCAGGCGGCUUUGUAAGUUUGGUGUUUAAGCUCAGAGCUCAACUCUGAUUCGCAUCGAAAACUGCAAGGCUUGAGUACAGAAGAGGAAAGUGGAAUUCCACGUGUAGCGGUGAAAUGCGUAGAGAUCGGAAAGAACACCAACGGCGAAAGCACUCUGCUGGGCCGACACUGACACUGAGAGACGAAAGCUAGGGGAGCGAAUGGG
rnacentral:rRNA from 1 species